UACGUAGGAUGCAAGCGUUAUCCGGAAUUAUUGGGCGUAAAGAGUUCGUAGGUGGUUUGUUAAGUCGGAUGUGAAAGACCGAGGCUUAACCUCGGGAACAUGUCCGAAACUAAUUAACUAGAGUCUGUUAGAGGUGCGCGGAAUUCUGGGUGUAGCGGUAAAAUGCGUAGAUAUCCAGAGGAACACCAAUGGCGAAGGCAGCGCACUGGAGCAGUACUGACGCUGAGGAACGAAAGCGUGGGUAGCGAAC
rnacentral:rRNA from 1 species